UACGGAGGGUGCGAGCGUUGUCCGGAAUCACUGGGCGUAAAGGGCGCGUAGGUGGCGCGGGCAGUCAACGGUGAAAGUUCGGGGCUCAACCCUGAAUCGGCCGUCGAUACUCCCGGGCUUGAGCACUGUAGAGGCAGAUGGAAUUCCGGGGUGUAGCGGUGGAAUGCGUAGAGACCCGGAGGAACACCAGUGGCGAAGGCGGCGUCCUGGCCUGCGACUGACGCUGUGGCGCGAAAGCUAGGGGAGCGAACGGG
rnacentral:rRNA from 1 species